rnacentral:misc_RNA from 1 species
CUGGUGAGCACCGAGGGG